UUGCUCGCUUUGGCAGCAUGUAUACUAAAAGUGGAAGAAUACAGAAGAGAUUAGCAUGGCAUCUGCACAAGAAUGACAUGAAAAUUCAUGGAGUGUUCCAUAUUCUC